AUUGAACGCUGGCGGCAUGCCUUACACAUGCAAGUCGAACGGUAACAGGUCUUCGGAUGCUGACGAGUGGCGAACGGGUGAGUAAUACAUCGGAACGUGCCCGAUCGUGGGGGAUAACGGAGCGAAAGCUUUGCUAAUACCGCAUACGAUCUACGGAUGAAAGCAGGGGACCGCAAGGCCCUGCGCGGACGGAGCGGCCGAUGGCAGAUUAGGUAGGUGGUGGGAUAAAAGCUUACCAAGCCGACGAUCUGUAGCUGGUCUGAGAGGACGACCAGCCACACUGGGACUGAGACACGGCCCAGACUCCUACGGGAGGCAGCAGUGGGGAAUUUUGGACAAUGGGCGAAAGCCUGAUCCAGCCAUGCCGCGUGCAGGAUGAAGGCCUUCGGGUUGUAAACUGCUUUUGUACGGAACGAAAAGCCUCUUUCUAAUAAAGAGAGGUCAUGACGGUACCGUAAGAAUAAGCACCGGCUAACUACGUGCCAGCCGCCGCCGUAACAC
rnacentral:rRNA from 1 species